GAAAGCGUAAUAGCUCACUGAUCGAGUCGUCCUGCGCGGAAGAUGUAACGGGGCUCAAGCCGAUAACCGAAGCUGCGGAUCGCUGCAAUCCACCUGAGAGUGCUUGUGCGUCGCCAGAAGUCCUGGCGAGGCCCGCUUGCGUUCGCAAGCCAAGCGCCUUCAGGGGAUUGCAGCGGUGGUAGAGGAGCGUUCCGUACGCCUGCGAAGGUGUGCCGAGAGGCAUGCUGGAGGUAUCGGAAGUGCGAAUGCUGACAUGAGUAGCGAUAAAGGGAGUGAAAAGCUCCCUCGCCGAAAGCCCAAGGUUUCCUGCGCAACGUUCAUCGGCGCAGGGUGAGUCGGCCCCUAAGGUGAGGCAGAGAUGCGUAGCUGAUGGGAAUCCGGUCAAUAUUCCGGAACCGCCGGCGGGUGCGAUGUGGGGACGGAGAAGGUUAUGCAGACCAGGUGUUGGACGUCCUGGUGAAGCGUGUAGGCGGGACCCUUAGGGAAAUCCGGGGGGCCAACGCCGAGGCGCGGGACCAGGGGAGCUUUGCUCCCCGAAGCUGCAGAUACCCUGCUUCCAGGAAAAGCCACUAAGCUUCAGCCCGUCGGGACCGUACCGCAAACCGACACAGGUGGGCAGGAUGAAAAUUCUCAGGCGCUUGAGAGAACUCAGGAGAAGGAACUCGGCAAAUUGACACCGUAACUUCGGGAGAAGGUGUGCCUUUGGUAGGUGUAGCGGCUUGCCCGCGAAGCCGAAGAAGGCCGCAGAGAAUCGGUGGCUGCGACUGUUUAUCAAAAACACAGCACUCUGCUAAGACGUUGGAAGUCGACGUAUAGGGUGUGACGCCUGCCCGGUGCCGGAAGGUUAAGUGAUGGGGUGCAAGCUCUUGAUCGAAGCCCCGGUAAACGGCGGCCGUAACUAUAACGGUCCUAAGGUAGCGAAAUUCCUUGUCGGGUAAGUUCCGACCCGCACGAAUGGCGUAACGAUGGCCACACUGUCUCCUCCUGAGACUCAGCGAAGUUGAAAUGUUUGUGAAGAUGCAAUCUACCCGCGGCUAGACGGAAAGACCCCAUGAACCUUUACUGUAGCUUUGCAUUGGACUGUGACGCUGUCUGUGUAGGAUAGCUGGGAGCCUUUGAAGCCGGGAUGCUAGUUCCGGUGGAGGCGACGUUGAAAUACCAGCCUGAUGACGUUGCGGUUCUAACCUGGGCCCCUUGACGGGGUCGGGGACCGUGCAUGGUAGGCAGUUUGACUGGGGCGGUCUCCUCCCAAAGGGUAACGGAGGAGUGCGAAGGUCACCUAGGUACGGUCGGAAAUCGUACUCAUAGUGCAAUGGCAUAAGGUGGCUUGACUGCGAGACUGACAAGUCGAGCAGGUGCGAAAGCAGGUCAUAGUGAUCCGGUGGUUCUGUAUGGAAGGGCCAUCGCUCAACGGAUAAAAGGUACUCUGGGGAUAACAGGCUGAUACCGCCCAAGAGUUCAUAUCGACGGCGGUGUUUGGCACCUCGAUGUCGGCUCAUCACAUCCUGGGGCUGUAGCCGGUCCCAAGGGUAUGGCUGUUCGCCAUUUAAAGUGGUACGUGAGCUGGGUUCAAAACGUCGUGAGACAGUUUGGUCCCUAUCUGCCGUGGGCGUUGGAGAUUUGACGGGGGCUGCUCCUAGUACGAGAGGACCGGAGUGGACGCACCUCUGGUGUACCUGUUGUCACGCCAGUGGCAUUGCAGGGUAGCUAAGUGCGGAAGAGAUAACCGCUGAAAGCAUCUAAGCGGGAAACUUGCCUGAAGAUGAGAUCUCCCGGGGGUUCAACCCCCCUGAAGGGUCGUCCGAGACCAGGACGUUGAUAGGCUGGGUGUGCAAGGGUGGCAACGCCUUGAGCUAACCAGUACUAAUUGCCCGUGCGGCUUGACUCU
rnacentral:rRNA from 1 species